rnacentral:rRNA from 1 species
AACGAACGCUGGCGGCAUGCCUAACACAUGCAAGUCGAACGAGACCUUCGGGUCUAGUGGCGCACGGGUGCGUAACGCGUGGGAACCUGCCCUUAGGUUCGUAAUAACUCCCCGAAAGGGGUGCUAAUACCGGAUAAUGUCUUCGGACCAAAGAAUUAUCGCCUUUGGAUGGGCCCGCGUUGGAUUAGCUAGUUGGUAGGGUAAAAGCCUACCAAGGCGACGAUCCAUAGCUGGUCUGAGAGGAUGAUCAGCCACACUGGGACUGAGACACGGCCCAGACUCCUACGGGAGGCAGCAGUGGGGAAUAUUGGACAAUGGGCGAAAGCCUGAUCCAGCAAUGCCGCGUGAGUGAUGAAGGCCUUAGGGUUGUAAAGCUCUUUUACCCGGGAUGAUAAUGACAGUACCGGGAGAAUAAGCGCCGGCUAACUCCGUG